rnacentral:lncRNA from 1 species
CGAAAGAGUAAGAACCGGUACCGAUUCAAAAUUACCGAAAAAGUAAGAACCGGAACCGAAAAAGAAAAAAAUCGAUACCGCCGAUUUCGGUACCAACUGGUUCAGUAAAAAAUCGAAAAAAUCGAAUUUUUUUAGUACCUCUAUUCCUGGGUUCGCCCUAGUUUCCCUCCUGGCCCCUUCCCUAGGUUCCCCUCUAGACAACUAG